GGGAAACUAACCCAGUGCAGGCAGCGUCCACAGACCCAGCAGGAACAAACAGACCCAGCAGGCCUCCAGUUAGUCCGUUAUCAAAAGAAGGGAACAAACAAACAUAAAAUAAACAAGGAGAACUGACUGAACCUGCGGGUUCCUGCGGGGUUCCUGCGGGUUCCUGCGGGCGCAGAGCGGGUCUGCGGGAGCAGGGAGGAGCGAGGCCACCUGGACGGAGCUCUAAACCGAACAAACAGCUGCUGUUUACCGUGUCGGUGAAGCUCCGUAACGUCAGGCUCGACGCGUUAGCUACACAGCCGGCCAGCUGUUUGGGAGCUAAUGCUAACAGGCUAACUGCGUUGUUGUAACGGGCCGCGGGGAGCUAACGGCUAACGGCUAGCGGCGGAGGGCUCUCACCGGUCAGCCGCGGUCCCGGCCGGCGUGCCGCGCGGAGGGAGACGAGCCGCGGAGGAGAAGUAGUCCCUGUGCCGGUUGAACCUUCCCGCUGUGUUGUGCUGCGGCCGGACUCCGGGCUCUCAGUCUGUCCGCUGCUCUGUGGGCUCCGAGCGGGCCAGCGCCAUCUGCAAAACACCGAGAACCCUGAGGAACAUCACUUCCUGUGCACCACUUUCAAAAUAAAAGCUCCCGCAGACAAGACACCCAUGCUGCAGAGUUUGUUGGUCCAGCAUCUCAUGUGUUUAGUCUCCACAUCUGCAUGUUCCCGACCGGAGAACAUCCUCAAGACAUUUAUAUGGAUAAAUUAAAAAAAAAAAAAAAAAAAAAAAAAAAAUCAGUUGUUUCUAUCCCCUCAGCUGAAGAUUAGAAGAUUAUAAGAUAUCUGAGGAAUUCAGACAGUUUAUAGAAUAUUUUCUCCAAUUAUUUUUCAGUAAAAUUGCUGGAUUUAAUUUUCUGUUAGUGUGUGCGGACACUGCCGGAGCCCCUGUAGCACGACACACACACUUUGAUGCACUGCAUUAUUGUUAUUAUUUUGUAAUAUAUUCUAUCCAUAAGAUGAUUUGGCUUAAAAAAAAAAAAAAAAAAAACAUAUUUGACUGCCACU